AUGAAGCUGCUGCAUGUUUUUGUCUAUGUGUCCUCAGAGGUCAGAGGUCAGUACACAGUGACUCAGCCUGCAGCAGUGAGAGCUGAUAUUGGAAGAUCUGCCACCAUCAACUGUAGAACCAGUCAGAAUGUUUAUGUUUCUGGCAGCUCCCAUCGUUUAGCCUGGUAUCAACAGAAAGAUGGACAAAAUCUUAAGUGGCUCAUUUAUGAUGCCAGCUUUCGACAACCAGGGACUCCAAGUCGUUUUUCAGGCAGAGGAUCAAACUCUGACUUCACUCUGACCAUCAGUGGAGUUCAGGCUGAAGAUGCUGCAGUUUAUUACUGUCAGAGUCUUCAUUACCCCAACAGCCAGCAUGUGUUCACACAGUGAAAAACAGCCGUACAAAAACCUUCCUCAGUCAAACUGAACUGAAACUAAUGUGACAGUUCAGUGACAGUGGCAGCUGGACAUAUA